GUGGGGAAUAUUGGACAAUGGGCGAAAGCCUGAUCCAGCCAUGCCGCGUGUGUGAAGAAGGUCUUCGGAUUGUAAAGCACUUUAAGUUGGGAGGAAGGGCAGUAAGUUAAUACCUUGCUGUUUUGACGUUACCGACAGAAUAAGCACCGGCUAACUUCGUGCCAGCAGCCGCGGUAAUACGAAGGGUGCAAGCGUUAAUCGGAAUUACUGGGCGUAAAGCGCGCGUCGGUGGUUUUGUAAGUUGGAGGUGAAAUCCCCGGGCGCAACCUGGGAACUGCCUCCAAAACUGCAUGACUAGAGUACGGUAGAGGGUAGUGGAAUUUCCUGUGUAGCGGUGAAAUGCGUAGAUAUAGGAAGGAACACCAGUGGCGAAGGCGACUACCUGGACUGAUACUGACACUGAGGUGCGAAAGCGUGGGGAGCAAACAGGAUUAGAAACCCCGGUAGUCC
rnacentral:rRNA from 1 species